rnacentral:sRNA from 1 species
AGUCUGGUGGAGUUGUUCAUCGUUGCUCGUCGUCACUGGUUU